CACCAAUGUUAAGGUCUGCCUUUCACCUUCCGCCAUGAUUGUGAGGCCUCCCCAGCCACGUGGAACUAUGAGUCCAUUAAGCCUCUUUUUCCUGAUGAAUUACCCAGCCUCAGGUAUGUAUUUAUCAGCAGCAUGAAAAAAGACUAAUACAGAGAAGAUCCAUGACCACUACUCUCAGUUUGUGAACCUCCAUCAACUCAGCAGACCAUCAAAGCCUCAUCUACUUCAAUGGCAAACAAUGUGUAUCUCAUGUUGAACAGGAUGGAAGCCUGCUUCAUUAAGGAAAGCACUACAUUAGGAUCUGGUUUGUGCUGUAGGAGCUUAUGUAGAGCCUCAAAAUGGAAACACACUGAACUCAGCCAUGGAAAGCCUUGUGGAACAGGCUUUGUAUCAGUUGAAGACAAGUGAUAAGAGAAGACUAAUGUUUCUACUCAUGUACAAAGGUACUUUGAUGUUGAUACUGCUUAUGUACAGGUUGAUGCCAUGGCAGGAAAGCAAAGAUUUUGACCUUUGCUGCCCAAUAUGGCAACCACUAGCCACAUAUGUCCACUGAACACCUGAAAUGUGAUUAGUACAACAUAUUAAAAAGGAGCUCGCUGAAGGAAGUUAUAAAAUCCAUGACUUAAUAAUGGAGAUACUAUUUUUCUUGAACGUAAACAAUCUUCAUGUUUGCCACUUGCAAUGGACUGAAUUAUGUCUCUCCCAAAUUGAUGUAUUGAAGCUCUAACUCUCAAAGUGAUUCUAUCUAAGGAUAGGAUAUUUAAAAGCGAGAACACAGUGAGUGAGAAGGUGGCCAUCUGCAAACAAGGGAAAGAGCUCUCAUCAGACCUCAACACACCGGCAUUCUGAUUUCGGACUUCCAGCCACCCAAACCAUGAGAAAAUAAAUUUCUGUUAUUUAAGACAUCCAGGGUAUGGUAUUUUGUUAUAGCUGACUAAUACCAAGCUGAGUAAUCCUGAGCUGAAUAAUACUCAACUUCUAGGCUAGUUCAUAAAAGCAUGAAUAAAUACUCAACUUCUAGGCCAACUUCUAGGCCUAGUUCAUAAAAGCAUGAAUAAAUACUCAACUUCUA
rnacentral:lncRNA from 1 species